AAACAAUCUCAACCUUUGAUUCAAUUUUUUUGCUUUUUUUCUUAUUCUCUUUUCUUCAUUUCCCCUGACAUUUAAUAUGAUCUAUAAUUUAUUUACCAAUAUAGUUUAGCCAAAUAAUAAUAUUAGAAUAAAUCAUACAUUUUUUUACAUAUACUGUAUUUUAAAUUUUUCAAACGUAUAUUUAUUUCUUUCAAAAUAUAUAAAUUGUUAUUACUACGAAUAUCUC
rnacentral:lncRNA from 1 species